rnacentral:tRNA from 1 species
GCUGGGAUAUUUCAACGGUUAGAAUUCAACUUUCAUACAGUUUCGGUAAUGGUUCGAUUCCAUUUCUCAGCUC